AAACCGUGAUGCGGGAAGUCAUGUUGAUAUUCCUUGAAUCUAACCCAUGCUGCUUUGAAAGCCUCAGCUAGAUCUUGGGUGAAGGUAGACAGCUUGUUUCCGAGCUC
rnacentral:snoRNA from 1 species